rnacentral:rRNA from 1 species
AGAGUUUGAUCAUGGCUCAGAUUGAACGCUGGCGGCAGGCCUAACACAUGCAAGUCGAACGGUAACAGGAAGCAGCUUGCUGCUUCGCUGACGAGUGGCGGACGGGUGAGUAAUGUCUGGGAAGCUGCCUGAUGGAGGGGGAUAACUACUGGAAACGGUAGCUAAUACCGCAUAAUGUCGCAAGACCAAAGAGGGGGACCUUCGGGCCUCUUGCCAUCGGAUGUGCCCAGAUGGGAUUAGCUUGUUGGUGGGGUAACGGCUCACCAAGGCGACGAUCCCUAGCUGGUCUGAGAGGAUGACCAGCCACACUGGAACUGAGACACGGUCCAGACUCCUACGGGAGGCAGCAGUGGGGAAUAUUGCACAAUGGGCGCAAGCCUGAUGCAGCCAUGCCGCGUGUAUGAAGAAGGCCUUCGGGUUGUAAAGUACUUUCAGCGGGGAGGAAGGGAGUAAAGUUAAUACCUUUGCUCAUUGACGUUACCCGCAGAAGAAGCACCGGCUAACUCCGUGCCAGCAGCCGCGGUAAUACGGAGGGUGCAAGCGUUAAUCGGAAUUACUGGGCGUAAAGCGCACGCAGGCGGUUUGUUAAGUCAGAUGUGAAAUCCCCGGGCUCAACCUGGGAACUGCAUCUGAUACUGGCAAGCUUGAGUCUCGUAGAGGGGGGUAGAAUUCCAGGUGUAGCGGUGAAAUGCGUAGAGAUCUGGAGGAAUACCGGUGGCGAAGGCGGCCCCCUGGACGAAGACUGACGCUCAGGUGCGAAAGCGUGGGGAGCAAACAGGAUUAGAUACCCUGGUAGUCCACGCCGUAAACGAUGUCGACUUGGAGGUUGUGCCCUUGAGGCGUGGCUUCCGGAGCUAACGCGUUAAGUCGACCGCCUGGGGAGUACGGCCGCAAGGUUAAAACUCAAAUGAAUUGACGGGGGCCCGCACAAGCGGUGGAGCAUGUGGUUUAAUUCGAUGCAACGCGAAGAACCUUACCUGGUCUUGACAUCCACGGAAGUUUUCAGAGAUGAGAAUGUGCCUUCGGGAACCGUGAGACAGGUGCUGCAUGGCUGUCGUCAGCUCGUGUUGUGAAAUGUUGGGUUAAGUCCCGCAACGAGCGCAACCCUUAUCCUUUGUUGCCAGCGGUCCGGCCGGGAACUCAAAGGAGACUGCCAGUGAUAAACUGGAGGAAGGUGGGGAUGACGUCAAGUCAUCAUGGCCCUUACGACCAGGGCUACACAUGUGCUACAAUGGCGCAUACAAAGAGAAGCGACCUCGCGAGAGCAAGCGGACCUCAUAAAGUGCGUCGUAGUCCGGAUUGGAGUCUGCAACUCGACUCCAUGAAGUCGGAAUCGCUAGUAAUCGUGGAUCAGAAUGCCACGGUGAAUACGUUCCCGGGCCUUGUACACACCGCCCGUCACACCAUGGGAGUGGGUUGCAAAAGAAGUAGGUAGCUUAACCUUCGGGAGGGCGCUUACCACUUUGUGAUUCAUGACUGGGGUGAAGUCGUAACAAGGUAACCGUAGGGGAACCUGCGGUUG